UGAUAAUUCAGGUUGUGCAU
rnacentral:siRNA from 1 species